rnacentral:rRNA from 1 species
UACGGGGGGGGCAAGCGUUGUUCGGAAUUACUGGGCGUAAAGGGCUCGUAGGCGGCCAACUAAGUCAGACGUGAAAUCCCCAGGCUCAACCUGGGAACUGCGUCUGAUACUGGAUGGCUUGAAUCCGGGAGAGGGAUGCAGAAUUCCAGGUGUAGCGGUGAGAUGCGUAGAUAUCUGGAGGAAUACCGGUGGCGAAGGCGGCAUCCUGGACCGGCAUUGACGCUGAGGAGCGAAAGCUAGGGGAGCAAACGGG